GAGAAUUCCAUGAUCCUAUCGCAACUUAAUUGUUUACUUGAACAAGUUUAAAAUUAUGUUGAGAACAUACCAAAUAUUGCAAUAUGCUUCCUUCUAAUUUUUUGCUCAGUAAAGAAGAGUUAUAUAAAAUAUAAAAUUCAUUGAAAAGGUCUUAGAAACUGAAGCAGAAAAUAAAAAUAGAACCUAGUAAUUACUAGCAAACGCAGAAAGCCUAUACUUGAUUGUCAAACAAGUUUAUUUCGCGGCAGAGCAUAGGUAGUUUAUCGGCGAGAUGCAGCCCUCACCCUUUUUUCUCCUCCUCCUCCUCCUCAAAUCUUACAAUUUCUCUGCACAUAAAAACAAGUUUAUCGUACACAAUUAUCACAAUAAUAACAAUAAAUCCGAUGAGACUAACAAAAAAUGCACUUCACUGACCGGAGCAUCUGAGUGAGAAGGGCGGCUUCAUCCAAGUGACCAGUUUCCCUUGCUUUCAAUAUGCGGAACAUAAGCCCCAGUUUGAUCUGGGUUCUGGCAGUUUGCUGAACAAUGAAUCUAGUUUCUCUCUUUAAUUCCUCGCAUUCGGCUUCAAUUGCUGUAACUUUGUCUUUCACUUGUCUCUGUCUUUCCCUGAUAUCCUUCUGUUCCUCGCUUCUUUUCUCCAUCUCUGUCUUCAACCUCUCCACUCUUCCCCGCAACUCCUUGGUUCCAUGCUUCUUUCCCUGAUCACGAUAUAGAAAAACAGUAAGCAUAUAAAGUGAUUAAACCCCACAAACGAAAAACAGUACAGAAAUUACUAUUACAUGUUUAGCCCUGGAUCUGGAUUUGAAACCUUUCCUACUUCGUAUGGCAACCCGAAGACGACCAAGCGACAAGAAAGGGGCCAUAGUAAGGGUUUUUUUUUUCUUCCUCCUCCUGUUGCUAUCAAUUAUGAUUUAUCGGAUACCAUACCUUAUAUAUUUAUAUAGGCCGCCGUUAGCUCUCGCGACUUCGCGCUAAAGCUAAUUUGUGUCGCUCGACAUGGGUGGAUAAAGCACAACAGUCGCGCGGUCCUUUAGGUGAGCGCGCGGUUGAUGAAUCACAACAGUUGUUAUUCUCUUGAAUUGUGAACACAUAGUAGUGGUAAAACUACUGGUCCCUAUAUUAAGAGUUAAAUUAUAUUUUUUAUUAAAAAUAAUUAAAUUUGUAAAUUUUAAAAAAUGAUUUUUAUUAUUAAAAAUAUCACUCAUUUAUAUUGUUAAAAAUUAUUAUGGUAAACAGAAUAAUUAGACAAGGACACGUGAUGUGCCACAUGUCUCUUAUGUUAAUGUACAAUGACUAGUUUUUAACAAUAAAAAUAGAUUAAAUUUUUAAUAGAAGAAUUAAUUUGAGCUUUCAUUUAACGUAUAAAUAUUAAUUUGUUAAUUUUUAAAUAAAGAUAACAAAUUACAAUCCAACUCUUACUACAACCUCCAUAAUACUUUUACUUAUAGUUUAAUAUAAAAGUGGAUUAAAAAAAAGUUAAAAAGGUUAAAGAGUCAAUUUUAAAAAAUUCAGAAUUUCUUUAUGUUAGAUAUUGAAGACUUCGUUAGCGCGAAACUUGCUAUUUGAGGAUAUCGCGUGACAUCGGACGAAGGAAACACAAGAAUUUGUCAAGCCAACCUUGCCUGCUUUAAUUAUGUCAUUAUUCAUUAUUUAUAAUACUUCUCGAAAGAAAUUCAUUCUGACAAAAAGAAAAUAAAUAUUUUGAUCAAAUUUUAUAAAAGGUCCCUAAAUUCUGCGUUUUUUUACUUUAGUCUCUCUAGUAUAAUCGAAUUAUAUCUAAUUUCUCUACUCUUUGAAAUAUAUGUUUUUAGUUUCGAGAUUAAUAUUUCUCAGUAAAUUUAAUCAAUUAAUUUUCUGUGACUUAUUAUUUUAAAACAUAACCUUUGAUGAGGUGACAUAUAUACUUUGACAUUUUUCAAUAAAAAAUAGAUAAUUUUUUUAAGAAAUUAAAAAGUAUAUAUUUAUCUAACUAUAAAAAGAAUUCAAAUUAUUACAAAAUUAAAAGAAAAUCCGGCCUCAAGCCUAAAAAUUUAUAUUAUCAAAAAUAGAGAGUAAAAAUGUUCAAAUGUUAGUGGAGAGAUUAAAUUCAUAAAAUAUAAGGCAGUGACCUUCUAUUGAAUUUUAGCACUAACAUUAAUUAGAUAAGUUUCCAUGUGACUAUUGUGACAAUACUUUAAGCAGAAAAUCGCGCGAAGAUGCUAUUCAUGUAGCGUUGAUAAAAAAUUAUAUUUUGGAUUAAUAGUAAGACGUUCACAUCUCUCUUGCUAUUUAUUUAUUUGGUUAAGAAAUAAUGGAGAAAACAAAACACCCAUUAAGAGGUUAAGGAUCCCUUGUGAAGAACAAUAAAAUUCUGUUUGCGUUUUAAGCUUUCUUUAGCCAUCCAGGCUAUUCUUCUUCUGUGGAGGAACAUACUUCAUCUUUUGCUAACAAGUCUUGAAUCACCUUGGCUAGACAAUAUAGAGGAUGUACCCUUCUUCAGCAUGUCCAUAGAAGUAGUGGAAUCAGAUAUUUCACAAUGAAUGGCUCUAUUACCCUAAAUUCCAAGCUAACAUGAUGCCUUACUAAAGACCUCAUAGCUCUGCAUAUUCAAUGCUACUCUCCCCACAAUAACUAAAGAAACCCCAUACCUAGUUUCCAUGCCAAUCCCCAAAGGACACUGCACCUCUACUUGUUUAAGUGAGGCCGAGCUAAUUCUCUUCGCCAUUUCCAAAUCCUCCAGCAAAUUACUCUCGCCUUGGUGCUGCAAAUAGUCUUCAUGUAAUGCCGUGAAAACGGAACUGCUUCCCCCAACAACCAUGUCCAUAUUAUUUUAGCUAGCAGCAAAGCAAUCACACGAAGCACAUGUAAUGUGUCCUCACAUCUUUCUAUUAUACCACCUCUUAUAAAUUCUAUUCCUCCAAUUCAGGGCGAAGCAAAUAAUUUGUUUAGAGGGCUGGAAUUAAAUUAUUUUAUUUUAUGAUAGUAAGGAUAUAAUUUUAUUAUUUUAAUAUUUUAUGUAUUUAUAAUAUUUAAAUGAUUAAAUUAAAAUUUUUUUAUUUUUAAAAGAGUUAAAAGUACAAUUUUAUCUUUAUUAAUUUAAAAGUUAAUAAAUUUUUAUUAUAGAAAGAUUUAAAUGACAAAAAAUCAGACCCUGCCAAGCAACUUCUCCAACUCCAUACAAUACUCGAAGUUCUUUGUAUAUAAUACAAGUAUUCAAUCUUUGGCUCAUCAACUUGAAAAAAUAAGCUAACUUCAAAUUAACAACACCUUUAGAAGUGUUAUUUCCUCAUGAAUACCGCUAUUCAUCAGUGCUGAAAUUGCUCAGGUUUUUAUGAUUUUAUCCACAUUCCACCAUUCUUUACCGCCCCAAAACUGCGUGCAUUUAAGAGGUUAAUGUAAAAACAGCGGUGGCGGUGAAAUUAGACACUGUAGUGAUAUUGUAGCGUGAGACUAAAAAUAAAGUAAACUAAACACAUCGCACCGCACCGCACCGCACCCAAUCGCCCAUCCAAAUCAACCCUAAGUAAAUGACCACAAGCUUUAAAUUAAGUAGUAGUUGUGGUCCCCUAUUUAGUAGUAUGUCGUCAGCCAUCUUUUUGAAAGGAGCACCUUCUUCGUGAGCAUAAGCGUUGUGAUAAAUGUUUGAAUUGAGGAAUGUUUGAAUAUUUGAUUUGAGGAAUGUUUAUGUUAUUUGAUUUGAGGAAUGUUUGAAUAUUUCAGUUUGAUAGGUCUUGUAUGGCCUUGUGAUAAAUGUUUCUAAAUUCUACCCCUUUUUCAUCUUAUUUCUAUUUGUUGUGGAUGGUUGUUAGCAUUAAAAUGCUGGGAAAACGAUACUUGGAGGUAGGUUGAGCCUAAGAGAAAAUGUGCAUUGUUUCCCUUUGUCAAAAACAAUUCACUUCUCCAACCCUGACUGCUCAUCAUCUCUGUAUCUGUAUCACCAAUCUUUUCUUCUUUUUUAUUCCUUAAUUUAUUUUUGUGGUGGCAAAACUGAGUGCAGAAAUGCAUUGACGUCGACCCAGCAAAACUAGAAGCACCGACUUCCCACUCAGGGUGCUACUUAAAUGUUUUAUACAUCUAGCAGUCCAAAGUUUAAAGCCAAUUAAACGAGAAUUCCAUGAUCCUAUCGCAACUUAAUUGUUUACUUGAACAAGUUUAAAAUUAUGUUGAGAACAUACCAAAUAUUGCAAUAUGCUUCCUUUUAAUUUUUUGCUCAGUAAAGAAGAGUUAUAUAAAAUAUAAAAUUCAUUGAAAAGGUCUUAGAAACUGAAGCAGAAAAUAAAAAUAGAACCUAGUAAUUACUAGCAAACGCAGAAAGCCUAUACUUGAUUGUCAAACAAGUUUAUUUCGCGGCAGAGCAUAGGUAGUUUAUCGGCGAGAUGCAGCCCUCACCCUUUUUUCUCCUCCUCCUCCUCCUCAAAUCUUACAAUUUCUCUGCACAUAAAACAAGUUUAUUGUCCACAAUUAUCACAAUAAUAACAAUAAAUCCGAUGAGACUAACAAAAAAUGCA
rnacentral:lncRNA from 1 species